ACACGCACAUACAAAGUUCAUUUAGACAGAUAUGACAUCAACAUGUAUACAGUUAGCGCCCCCUAUUGGAAUAUAGUCAUCCAACAGUUCAGUAUACAGUUAGCGCAUUGGAAUAUAAAGUCAUUACAAGUCAUUAUAUGAUAAACAGAGAGGAAGACAGAUUCAUACUGUGUGGUAGUGAUAGAUAUGACAGACAGAGAGGUAGACAGAUUCAUACCGUGUGGUAGAUAUGACAGACAGAGAGGUAGACAGAUUUAUACCGUGUGGUAGUGAUGGUCAGUAGAGAUCAUAGCCUUCAGAUGGUCAGAGAAGGAAGACAACUGGACAACGCUGAACGAGUGAGAGUCUAGUCCUCUUUUAAAGGAAGACAAGACCUGGAGGAGAGAAUGAGGGAGGGUUUAGGAGGGAGGGUAGAGGGUUAGGAGGGGAAGGGAGGUAGG
ensembl:lncRNA